UCUAACGAAGAGAGUUUAUCCUGUUGGAGUCAAACUGUGUGCGUGUUGUGUCUUUCAAGCAACGGCUUGAAAGACAUAUGAUCACUUUUGCCAGGGCAAAAAAAAAUGUUAAGAAAAUAAAUACUGUGCUUUUAUGUUUAUGUUAUGUCCUUCUCCGUGACAAAAAAGCUUUGAACAAAGUUAAUGUAAAAACGUGCGUUUGAUCUUUGAUAGAGUGAUGUGGGUUUCUAAACCUUGCCUGGAACUCAGCUGAGGGCAUCGUCCAGCACAAACAUUGGAGGACUCUGUCUCUGCUCAUGGCUCAGAGGAUACCGAUUGUGGGCAGAAAUUGGCUGACGGAGGUUCUCAUAUCCCCCCUCUGCCGAAAUCAUAAGGGGGAGUCGGGUGUCCCGCCAAGACCGGUCGACUCAGUCUCUCUUCCCUCCCCCACAACUACCACCAAAAGGACUUUUCCACCCAGUCUCGGCUUAGUAGGAAAUUAAUGUCUUGAUCAAUCUGUAAUGUAAUCAAAUGAAGUAAACAAUUGAGCUGUUGCUAUGCCUCUGCAAAUAUCCCUGGAAUAAAUAUCUAAUCUGCAUUUAAA